rnacentral:rRNA from 1 species
GACGAACGCUGGCGGCGUGCUUAACACAUGCAAGUCGAACGAUGAAGCUGGAGCUUGCUCCGGUGGAUUAGUGGCGAACGGGUGAGUAACACGUGAGCAAUCUGCCCUUGACUCUGGGAUAACUGCAGGAAACUGUAGCUAAUACCGGAUAUGAGGCUCGAAGGCAUCUUCGGGUCUGGAAAGAAUUUCGGUCAAGGAUGAGCUCGCGGCCUAUCAGCUUGUUGGUGAGGUAAUGGCUCACCAAGGCGACGACGGGUAGCCGGCCUGAGAGGGUGACCGGCCACACUGGGACUGAGACACGGCCCAGACUCCUACGGGAGGCAGCAGUGGGGAAUAUUGCACAAUGGGCGAAAGCCUGAUGCAGCAACGCCGCGUGAGGGAUGAAGGCCUUCGGGUUGUAAACCUCUUUUAGCAGGGAAGAAGCGAAAGUGACGGUACCUGCAGAAAAAGCACCGGCUAACUACGUGCCAGCCGCCGCGGUAA